rnacentral:tRNA from 1 species
GGGUGAUUAGCUCAGUUGGUAGAGCACCUCCUUUACACGGAGGGGGGCGGCGGUUCGAGUCCGUCAUUACCCACCA